rnacentral:misc_RNA from 1 species
AGUCAACUUAUCCAGCCCAGCCAGCUCAUCUAGCUCAUCCCAUCCCUUGGUCAUAACAGAGAGGCCGAGGAAUUUGGCAAUAAUGAUGGGAUGAUGCAAACCUAGCCUGUUUGAACGAAAAUGAUUGCAGUUGACGGUUUUGAUGAAACCACAGUGACAAAAUCAAAGAACUGCAAUAGUUAAAAGCUGCUUAGUCAACUUAUUAUUAAUUAUAUUUUAUUAAUAAUUUAGACUUACAAGGACUUCACAAUAACUUACAGAACAAAGACACGGCAAUUCAACGUCAUGAGGAAAAACCAUAGUCCAUUUAUCAUUGACCCACACGCCAUUCCCUAUUGGUAAUAACCAAUAAACACAUGAAAACUAACAAUUUGAUAUAUAAUGUCAUCAUACAACAACAAGUGCCAAAUACAGAAUGCAAUGUCGCCAUCAAUCAAUAAGUCUUCAGUGCUUUAGAAAGCGUUAAAUCUAAAACUCAGUGAAUACAACUAAAACGCAGUACUUCUCCGAAAAUAGCUAAAUUUGAAUACUUAACAUCAAAGAGUUCGCAUACUUGUAUCAAAGAUUACAUAUGUAGAAACUUACAAAUGAUGCCAUUUCUUCAUCAUUUGGCGCCCCUUAGUCAUCCAAGUUCUCCAUCUGAAUGCUGCUUUUCAAAGGGACAUAUUCUCCAAGGUAGCCACCAAGAUGAUCAUGUAAAACACUCUUAUCGAUUCCUUGGUGGUGAUAGCUCUUGCAAACAUAGUAAAAAACACUCUGCACCAACAAACCCACCAGAUUUACAAUCACCAACACCCCCACGAAAAACCCACCAACAACAAUUCUCGUAAAAACACCAUAUUUGUCUCCUCCAUGCACCACCACAGACCCAAAAAUCCCUCCAAUGACCCCACAAAUUGCCAAAUACCCAAACACAAGCACCGCAGCCAUACGAGCCCUUCCCUUUAGCAACUCAUAGCUCUUCUUCAUUGCGGCAAUCCCAUAAAUGGGCUCAAGCACAGAAACCACACUAGCCAAGUGCCAUAAAGCAGUUAUAUACACAUGGACAACCAAGAAGAACACGAAAAUCACCACCAGAGAUAAAAAGAGCAAAACGACGUUCUGGGAAUCGACGGCAAUAACGAAAAUGACCAAGAAGAUAAGGAUUACAGAGUUAUAAAGCAACAUCAACAAAGACACCCACAAAAACGUAAUAAACAAGCGCUUGAAAACCCUGGGUAUAGCAGAAAUGGUAGAAGAGAAAGUCACAGGCUUGGAUGUGUAAAGAGAGGCAACAGUGAAAACAACAGCAGCUGUUGAGAACAGAGAGAAAGCAAAAAGAAAGAUUAGAUAACAGAACUGGAAGAUCAUGAGAAGGGUCCAUUCAUGGCGGGUUUGAUUGGGAUCAGCUGAUGGGUGGUCUUCAAGUUGAGCCAAGAGAGGGUGAGUAAAGAGAGAAUGGGCUAAGAUGGCAAAAGAAAGAGGGAAAAUUAGGGUUAGGGUUAUGAGGUAGAAGGUUUUUGGAGAACGUUUGGGGAUUGCAAUUGAUUCCCUCAAAAUUUCUGGUAUGGUUAAGAAUUGGAGCUCUUCCGGUUCAAGAUCCAUGGCGUGAAAGGGUGUUCUGGCUGGAAAACAGAAUGCAAGAAAAGUCGGUGGAGUGAGAAGCGAUUUUAUCAAGAUUCUGGAGAGAAAUAGAUAGAUCAGUGACCCAAUGAAUAAGGCAAGAACUGACAAGGGACAAAGAAGAUAGAAU